rnacentral:rRNA from 1 species
CCUACGUGCGGCAGCAGUGGGGAAUAUUGGUCAAUGGGCGCAAGCCUGACCCAGCAACGCCGCGUGAAGGAAGAAGGCUUUCCGGUUGUAAACUUCUUUUCUCAGGGACGAAGCAAGUGACGGUACCUGAGGAAUAAGCCAUGGCUAAAUACGUGCCAUCAGCCGCGGUAAUACGUAGGUGGCAAGUGUUAUCCGGAUUUACUGGGUGUAAAGGGCGUGCAGCCGGGAAGACAAGUCAGAUGUGAAAUCCGGCGGCUCAAACGCGGAACUGCAUUUGAAACUGUUGUUCUUGAGUAGCGGAGAGGUCAGCGGAAUUCGUGGUGUAGCGGUGAAAUGCGUAGAUAUAAGGAAGAACACCAGUGGCGAAGGCGGAUGACUGGACGGCAACUGACGGUGAGGCGCGAAAGCGUGGGGAGCAAACAGGAUUAGAUACCCCAGUAGUC